AGCCUUGCUGGGUAGAGUAAUCUUGGUUGGAGGUUUUUUCCUUUCAUCACGUUAAGUGUAUCAUGCCACUCCCUUCUGGCCUGCAGAGUUUCUGCUGAAAAAUCUGCCAAUAACCUUAUUGGGGUUCCCUUGUAUGUUACUUGUUUCUUUUCCCUAGCUGCUUUCAAGCUUUUCUCUUUGUCUUUAAUUUUGGUCAGUUUGAUUAUUAUGUGUCUUGGUGUGUUCCUCCUUGGGUUUAUUUUAUAUGGUACUCAUUGUGCUUCCUGGAUUUGAGUGAGUGGUUCCUUUCCCAUGUUAGGGAAAUUUUUGGCUCUUAUCUCUUGGAAUAUUUUUUUCUGUCCCCUUCUCUCUCUCUUCUCCUUCUGGCACCCCUAUAAUACGGAUGUUGGUGCGUUUAACAUUGUUCCAAAUUUCUCUGAGACUCUCUUCAUUUGUUUUCAAUCUCUUUUCUCUUUUCUGUUCUGCAUCCGUAAUUUCCACUAAUCUGUCCUCCACCUCACUUAUUUGUUCUUCUGCCUCAUGUAUUCUGCUGUUAGCUGCUUCUAGUGAAUUUUUUAUUUCAGUUGUUGUAUUUUGCAUCUCUUCUUGUUUAAGUUUUAUAUCUUGUAUCUCUUUGGUCAGUGUUUCCUGUAAGUUAUCCAUCUUUGCCUCCAGUUUAUUUCCAAUGUCUUGCAUCAUCUUCAGCAUCGACAGUCUAAAGUCUUUUUCCUGGAGGCUGAGAAUCUCCUCAUUGCUUAGCUGUUUUUCUGGGGUUUUUCCUUUCUCCCUCAUCUGAGUUAUAGUUCUCUGUCUUUUCAUUUUUUAUAGGUUUUUGGUGUGGUGACCUUUUUAUAGAUAAUAGAGUUGUAGCCUCUCUUACUUCUGGUGUCUGCCCCCCUUGUGGCUGAAGUCGGUCGGUACGGUUGGCUUGCUGUAGGCUUCCUGAUGGGAGGGGCUGAUGCCUGCCCACUGGUAGGUGGAGCUGAAUCUAAUCCCUCUGGUGGGUGGGGCUUAGUCUCUGGAUGGGAUUAGGGGCUGCUUCGUUCCUGAGGCUCUUUAGGUAGCCUGUUUACUGAGGGGUGGGGCUGUGAUCCCACCUGGAUUGUUGUUUGCCCUGGGGCUUCUCAGCACUGACUGACGGGUGGGGCCAGAUUUUCCCAAAAUGGCCACCUCCAGAGAAAGGCAACUGCUGAAUAUUCCCGAGAGUUUUGCCUUCAAUGUCCUUCCCUCACAACAAGUCACAUUCACCCCUGUUUUCCCAGGAUGUCCUCCAAGAACUGCAGUCAGGUUUGACCUAGGUUCCUGUGGAGACCUCGCUCUGCCCUGGGACUAGUGCACGUGAAAGUCUGUGUGUGCCUUUUAAGAAUGGGGUCUCCGUUUCCCCCAGUCCUGUGGAGCUCCUGCACACAAGCCCCGCUGGCCUUCAAUGCCAGAUGCUCCAGGGGCUCUUUCUCCCAGUGACAGAUCCCAGCAUGUGAGGGUUUGAUGUGGGGCUCAGAACUCUCACUCCUGUAGGUGAGUCUCUGUGAGCCAGUUAGUUUUCAGUCUGUGGAGCUUCCCACCCAGGAGGUAUGGGGUUGUUUAUAUCACAAAAUCACCCCUCCUACCUGUGGAUGUGGCCUCCUCAUUUUCUUCUGGAGUAGGGUAUGGGUUUCCGGUCCAUUUGGGUGGAGAUUGCUCAGUCUUUAGUUGUGAAUUUUGUUGUUUUUAGGAGAGAAGUUGAGCUCCAGUCCUUCUAUUCCACCAUCUUAAUCC
rnacentral:lncRNA from 1 species